rnacentral:rRNA from 1 species
GAUGAACGCUGGCGGCGUGCUUAACACAUGCAAGUCGGACGGGAAGUGGUGGUUCCUGUGGCGGACGGGUGAGUAACGCGUGAGAACCUGCCCUGGGGAGGGGAACACUAGCUGAAAGCGGCGGCUAAUACCCCGCAGGCCUAGGAGCAAAAGGUGUAUUGCGCCCGAGGGGGGGCUCGCGUCUGGUGAUCUUGCUGGCGGAGCAAUAGCUUACCCAGGCGAUUAUCAGUAUAUGGUGCGAGAGGGUGAACAGCCACACUGGGACGGAGACACGCCGCAGAGACUCUCGGGAGACAGGGGAGGGGAGUAUGGCGCAAUGGGGGAGAGGGUGUGAGAGACAUGCGGCGUGGAAGUAGAGGGAUUAGGGGUCAUGAAAUUCUUUUCUAGGAGAAGACGUAAUGACGGUACCUGGGGAAUAAGCAACGGCUAACUCCGUG